GCACUAUAUUAAUUGCAAUAACCAAGUCGAUUACAGCAGUCAAUAAGAAAUGAGAGGAGCUAAGUACAGAAUAGAAAAGAAGAAGAAGAAGAAGUUUAUAGAAGAUAUUUUACAGACAUCAAAUCACGCCCCACUAGCUCUCCUUCUUUACAGUUAUAGCAGAAUGGAGGGUUGCUAGAAAGGCAAAAACGUGUUUUGGUCUAAUACCACUUUAACAAAAUAAAGAAAAAAUAAAAUGUCACCGUAUGUUGCCUAUUCAAAAUGUGCUAGCUGAGUUAGUAACCGUUGUUGCCUCUUCUUCCCUUCUCUUUUGUUUCAUCUCAAGGCUGUUUUUUCUCUUCUUUCUUCCCCAUGCUUUCUCUGAUUGUGGCUUGUCUUCAUAACAUCCCUCCCCCUUAAAAUAACCUUGUCCCCAAGAUUCAAAAGAAGGAAAUGUUGAUUGAAUAAAAUCAGCAAAUUCCCAGGUUGCAUCUUCCACAUUGGUUCCUUCUUAUUGCCCUAACCAUUGAGUAACAACUUGGUUGUUUCCUUUAACGAUUCGGGUAGACAAAACCCUCCUAGGCUAUUUGUGGUCUCUUAUUCCCCUGUACAAGUUGGUAAUGUAUAGACUGGAACUAUUUUCUCCCCCAAUUUUUUCUUUAAUAAAGAAAUAUGAAACGCGGGAUGGAUUUUGGCGUCUGGGGGCAGUUCUAAUCUGUAAGCAACCUUCCCAAUCCUCUGAAUUACUCUAUAAGGGCCAUAGUACUUUUCUGCUAACUUUUGGUUCACUUUAUUGGCUACUGUCUGUUGCGCAUAAGGGUGUAGUUUGAGGUAUACCCAAUCAUCUACUAGAAAUUCUCUUUCACUUCUAUGCUUGUUUGCGUAUUGCUUCAUCUGUGCUCUUGCUUGUGCCAAGUUCUCUCUUAAUGCUUGAUCCAUUUUGUGUCUUUCCUAUAAAAUUUCUUCCAUUGUAGCCACCUUGAGGUGUUGAUAAGGUCCAAGAGCUAAUUGUGGUGGCUUAAUGCCAUAAAGGGCUUCAAAUGGAGUCAUCCUGAUAGCAGUGUGCAAAGUCGUGUUGUACCACCAUUUGGCCAGGCUGAUCCAUCUACUCCAUUGCUUAGGCUGAUGAUAGACCAUACAUCUGAGGUAUAUUUUAAGGCAUUGAUUAAGCCUUUCAGUUUGCCCAUCUGUCUGUGGGUGAUAGGCUGAGCUUAGUUGUAAUGUGGUUCCCGUGUUUUUGAACAACUCCUGCCAAAACUCACUUGUAAAAAUUUUGUCCCUGUCUAUCACUAUGCUAUGCGGCAUCCCAUGUAAUUUAUAGACAUUAUCUAAGAAUAGCCUGGCUACAUGUGUUGCUGAGAAGGGGUGAACUAGCGUGAGAAAAUGACCAUAUUUUGUCAAUCUGUCAACAACAACCAAUAUGACAUUCUUUGCCCCAGAAGUAGGCAAACCUUCCACAAAAUCCAGUGAUAUGUGGCUCCAAGCAUACUGUGGUUAGGCUACAUGUUUACCCUUACACCUUUGACAACCCAGGAAAGGCUACAUGUUCACCCUUACACCUUUGACAAGUAUCACAUUCUAAGAAUUAUUGUCUGAUUUCUUUAACCAUACUAGGCCAGAAAAAAUGGUGUUUGGCUUUAUGAAUACUGGCUUGCACCCCUUCUUUAGAAGAGUGUAUAGUAGCGAUCAGUCUGUUCCUUAUUUUCCCAUUAGAUCCAAUAUAAAGCUUGGACUUAUACUUGAGUAAUCCAUUUGCAUAAGUGUAAUAUGGCUUUGUUUGUGCAUUGAGUAACACUGCAGUUAUUUUACUACCUGCUUCUUCAUCUCUUUGGUAGCUGGUUAUCACUUCUUGCAUCCACACCGGUGUCACAGUAGUGAUUGCCCAGCAUUCAGUACUUUCUCAUUCCCUUCUAGAUAGUGCAUCCGCUACCUUAUUAUCCACUCCCUUUUAUAUUGAAUCUCAUAACUAAGCCCCAAUACCUUCGUCAACCAUUUCUGUUGUAGUGGUGUGGUGAUUUUUUGUUCCAACAAGUAUUUAAGGAAGUGAUGAUCUGCUUUGAUGAUGAAAUGAUGUCCCUCUAGAUAAUGUCUCAACUUCCCCACAGCUGUCACUAAAGCUAGUAAUUCUCAUAGAUGGAUAGGCCUAAAUUCCUACUUAUAAUGCCUUUAAUCAAGUAGGCGAUAGGUCUUUUGUGCUGCAUCAAUACAGCUCCCAUAACACUAUAGCAAGCAUUAGUUUCAAUGACAAAUGAUAUUGAAAAAUCUGGCAAAGCUAGUACUGGGGUGGUACUCAUAGCUUCUUUUAGUUCCAGAAAAGCUCUAUUUGCAGCCUCAUUCCAGUUGAAAUUUCCCUUUUCUUUUUAACAAGUCAGUUAAAGGCCUUGCUAUAGUCCCAUAUCCCCUUACAAACUUCCUGUAAUAGCCUGUUAAACCCAGAAAACCCCUCAACUGUUUGAUGUUACUUAAUUUAGACCAAUUCGUCAUAGCUGCUACCUUGUUAGGACUACUGCCACUCCUUCUGCGGUGAUGAUGUGUCCAAGGUACUCCACUUUAGGUUGUCCAAAUGAUCACUUACUAUCCUUGGCAUAUAACUGGUGUUCUUUCAGUAUGUUUAGGACUACUGUCACAUGGUUACAAUGACUCUUCAAAUUAGUACUGUAAACUAGAAUAUUAUAAAAAAAAAAACUAAUACAAACUUCCUGAGUUGCUCCUUAAAUACUUCAUUCAUCAAACAUUGGAACAUGGCUGGGGCGUUAGUAAGCCUAAAGGGCAUUACUCUGAAUUCAUAUAGGCCUUCAUGUGUCUUAUAAGUUGUUUUGUGUACAUCUUCAACCGCUACCAUGAUUUGAUGGUAACCAGCCCCUAAGCCAAUCUUGGUGAACAAUUUUGCUCCCUUCAGCUCAUCUAACAGAUCAUCAAUUAGUGGCAUAGAAUAUUUAUCCUUGAUAGUGAGGUUGUUCAAUUGUCUAUAAUCUACUCAAAAUCUCCAAGUGCCAUCCUUCUUUUUAACCAAGAGUAUAGGUGAGGCAUAAGGGCUGUUAUUAGGUUGAAUUAUUCCACUCUCCCUCAUCUCUUUAACCAUAUUUUCAAUCUCAGCCUUCUGUAUGUACGGACAUCUGUAGGGCCUAAUCAAGAAUGGUUGUGCCCCUUUUUAAGGGGUAUUUGGUGAUCACUGAAUCUAUUUGGAGGUAGCCCUUUAGGAUCCGAUAAAAACAUAGAGAAUUUAUUUACCACUGCUUGCAGGUCAGUAGGGGCUGGUUUUUGUUCCUUCUCAGUGGCAGCAGUGAUCUGAGCUACUACCCCAUAGCUGUUAUUCCUAAACCACUGUUUGUCUUCUUUAUCAUUCAUCAUCCUAACUUCUUAUUUAAUUAUUUUCACAAUUCAACUCCAUCUCUUUGCCCUCAUAGGUGAAAGUGAUGCUCCAUCUAUUAAAAUCAAACAACACAGGGUUGAAUUGACUUAACCAAUCCACUCCCAAUACCAUAUCACUCCCUCCCAAUUUCAACACCCUCAGUUGAUAUUGGAAUUCUAGUCCUUGUAUCUCCCAGUUUAAUGGAUUGCAAAUGGCCCUACUUAUUAGCUUAUCCCCUCCAACUACUGUAAUAGAGAUAUGCUUAGUUUGCUCCAUUUUACAUUGAAUGCUUUGGUCUAAUCGUUCAUCAAUAAAACUGUAGGUGCUCCCACUGUCAAUUAAUAUGGAUACUCUUCUUCCUUUAAUUCUUCCAGGCAACCUAAUCAUUGUAGAUUUGUUGCUCCCCACCAAUGUUUGAAUAGAGAUUUCCAUCACUUUUUCUGCACUUUCCUCCACUACACCCUCUCCGUCAUUCCCUUGGAACUCAUUAGAAUCUUCUGCACAUUCCUCAUCCACCAAUAUAAAGUUUAACAUCUUGUUCUUACAUACAUGAUCCCUAGUAUAUUUUUCAUCACAUUUGUAGCACAAUCCCAACUCCCUUUUUGUUUGAAAAUCUGAAGGUGUAAUGGCCUUAAACUUUAGAGGGUUGGCAGACAUUUUUGAAUUGGGUUCUGCAAUGGGGAUGGGUUUAUGUAUCGGAUCCAUAGGUUUAUUAUUGGAGUGAGUCCAUUUGGAUUGUAGGUAAGUCUUGUAUGCCCUGGUCCUUCUAUUUAGAACAGUUAUAGUGUUUUCCUAUAUGAUGGCCACUUCAAAAGCCUUGGCCAAUGUAUUAGGUCUGAUUGGUUUAAUUUCCUUCUUCAAACCACUGGUGAAGAUAGAUAAAUAGUAGGCUUCAGGGAGGUUGGGCAAAGUUAACAUCACCUGCAAUUUUAACUCCUCAAACUGCUCUGGACACUCAGUUAUGGUCCCCUUUUGCCUCAAUUUGUUGAAUACCUCUAUUAUUUCUUCAGUUGUGUUCUCUGCAAACCUCCCACAAAUCUCCUUCGCAAAGACAUCCCAACCAGCAGUUGGAUGGCUAGAGAUGUAUCCAUGGAACCAUACGCCGGCCUUCCUCUUCAGAUAUAUCUUAGCAAUCCCCACUUUCAUCUCGUUUUCUACCUGAUGAAUCUUAAAAUACUUGCUUGUCUUCCUGAACCACUCUCUAGGCCCAUCUCCAGUAAAAUAAGGAAAGUCUAUUUUGGGUACCUUGGUAGCCAAUCUAACCUCUCGGUUUCCAUUGGUGUAACCAGAAUGAAUUUCAUUCCCUCUAAAGCUACCACCACUGGUUUGAGAUGGAGACUCACAUCCUUCUACUUGAUUUUCUUUACCAUCAACCUUACUCCCAGUCAGUUGAGUUAGCAUCAACAUCAUAGCCUCUUGUGUGGCUUUCUUUACCAUUUCCUUGUCCAACCUCUUAAGGUGCUCCUCAUUAGAUUUGCUUCUAGCCUCUGCCAUCCCGAAUCAUAUCGCCGCUCUGAUUCCAAAUGUUAUAGUUGAGCUAGAUUAUCAACAACAACAACUCAAAAACUGAAUAGAAAAUCCAGUACCCACUAUAUUAAUUGCAAUAACCAAGUCGAUUACAGCAAUCCAUAAGAAAUGAGAGGAGCUAAGUACAUAAUAGAAAAUAAGAAGAAGAAGUUUAGAAAAGAUAUUUUACAGACAUCAAAUCAUGCCCCACUAUCUCUC
rnacentral:lncRNA from 1 species